rnacentral:lncRNA from 1 species
CCCAGCUCCUUGAUAGUUCUUGGCAAUCGAAAUGACUAGACGAAUGUUGCUUUUAAUCAUUCUGUCCUUGCACUGUGUGCCGUGAUUUAUACGUUUUCUUAAAGUCUUUUGAUCAACUCCAGCAGCAGAAGCCCAUUGUCCAAAGGUUGGCUGAUGGCCGCAACGCUCAGUCAGCUCUACUUGAAGCCUUUCCAGCUUCAGAAGGUCCUAAAUCACAAACCCCACAAAGUUUAUGAUCAAGAAACCACAAUAAAAAAGAUACCAAACAAGAAUGUCAAGGUAGUUUAUUUUUCAUAUAAAUUCAAAUGUAUAAUUUGGAUUACACCAUCUACCAUUAGUUUCAUCACUCUCUAAGAUUUUUAAAAGAUUUUCCAAACAUUGUUUUUCCCUAGAAUCUAGAACCUUAAGAAGAUUAGGAAGUGGCUAGUUUAUAGUUUGGAAGAUCAGAGACAAACCUGUAUUCCUUCAGAGAGUUCUGUUUCUUCUCUGGCGGUGAGAAGCUUUGAACUGCUAGUUGUCAUCCUUAGAUAACGCAAAGGAUCAUUAUGGUCAAUCUCCUGUGAAGCAACACGUUUCUUUCUAGUGCUGGAACUAGUCUUCACAGAAGACUGCAUACAUGAUGCAGUUUUCUCUAGCCCUUUUGCCCUCCUAGCUUUCCUUUCGGUUUGGCGUGUAGAUCUCACAGCUGAACUCACUGAAACCUCCUCCACAUCAACUUCUUCCUUUUCUGAUUCUAAAUCAUGAGAAGACUCUUUGUUAUUACAUUCAGGUGCAGCAGGUGGUGAUAUGAUUCUAUCACUCACAACUCCACUGUCUGAAACCGCUAGAUGUCCCAAUAUGCCAGCACGUUCCUUCUCCGUAAACUGAUCCCACUUGGACCGUUUCUCCCCAGCCAUUGAUGAAACUAAUAGUUUCGUGUUGUAACUGUUUCUAAACAACGUGGCAUCUUUCGCAACUUUGACAGCGGCUUUAGCAAGAGCCACUGCUUCAGCUGCUGCUGCUGCAACUACUGCUUCAUCGCUUGUGAGAAGUGUUUCAGCUUCUAAAUACUUCGCCUAGAAAUACAAUGAAGUUGUCAAUAAUCUUGCUGAACCAUUUGGCAAACAUAAUUAAAUAUAAUGACCUCAGUGGAAGGACCAAUGGUUCCUGUAUAAGUCCAUUGCCUGUCUGAUACUCUUGGAUUUGAAUCAGUAUCAAAAGAAGGUAGGAAAUCAUAUUGAAACAGUUAUCCUUUUAAGCAAAAAAAUAAUCCAUUUUCUUACAAAUGUUAUAAAAAAAACUUGUGAGAAUCGAACCAAACCGAAGAGGACCAACAUUCCAGUAUCUAAUUUAAACCGCCUAAACAAAUUGUAAGCCGGUUCCACAAUAAGAAAGACAUAGAAAAAAAGCCCAAGUAAAGUGGGUAACAAACACGAAAAGCCCAAUUUCACAAUAAUAAAGCAUUAAAUCAUACACGUAAUUACAGUGUAGUCCCUCUAUUAUUUUUCCGUUUCGAAAUCUUCACAAAUAAAGUUCUCUUAAUUAAAAAAAAGGAAAGAUAGCCGUUGGAGAAGAAGAAGAAGAAGACGAAGACACUAACGGCUAUUUUUCCAUCUGAGCUUCUUAUAGAAGCUUCAUCUCUCUUCUCCCAAACUCUCACAAUCCUUGAGCAGAGAAUCUCAGAUCUAAGAUGAACGAUCUAAUGACGAAGUCGUUCACGAGCUACGUCGACCUAAAGAAAGCAGCGAUGAAGGAUCUAGAAUCAGGCCCCGACCCGGCUGAUCUCGAGAUGACGAACAAAACCGACGAGAACCUCUCCUCCUUCCUCGAAGAAGCCGAGAAAGUCAAAUCAGAGAUGUCCUUGAUCGAGGCCGCGCUCUCCCGGAUCUCGCGGUACAACGACGAGAGCAAAUCCGCGCACAGAUCCGAAUCCGUGAAGUCUCUCCGCAACAAGAUCUCCAACGAGAUCGUCUCCGGUUUACGCAAAGCCAAAUCGAUUAAAUCGAACCUCGAGGAGAUGGAUAGAGCGAACCGGGAGAUUAAACGGUUAUCCGGAACAACUCCGGUUUACAGAAGCAGAGUGACUGUAACCAACGGUUUAAGAAAAAAAUUAAAAGAAGUGAUGAUGGAGUUUCAAGGACUAAGGCAGAGGAUGAUGAGUGAGUAUAAAGAGACCGUUGAGAGACGGUACUUCACUGUCACCGGAGAGAGACCUGACGAGGAGAUGAUUGAGAAGAUCGUUACUGAUGGAGGGGAAGAGUUUCUAACUCGAGCCAUUCAGGAGCAUGGGAGAGGGAAGGUGUUGGAGACGGUUGUUGAGAUUCAGGACAGGUACGACGCGGCGAAAGAGAUUGAGAAGAGUUUGUUGGAGCUUCACCAGGUGUUUUUGGAUAUGGCUGUGAUGGUUGAGGCGCAGGAGGAGCAGAUGGAUGAGAUUGAGCAUCAUGUGAUGAGCGCGGGGCAUUAUGUUAAGGAUGGGGCUAAGGAGCUUAAGACGGCGAAGAAUCAUCAGAGGAGCAGUAGGAAAUGGAUGUGUGUUGGUAUUAUUGUGUUGCUUUUGAUCAUUCUUGUUGUUGUCAUCCCUAUCCUUACUAGUUUCACCUCUUCUUGAGAGAGACAUUGACUUAGUUGUUUGUUUUGUGCCUAAAAAGGAUGUCUUAAUCCUUGCUUUGUUGUGUUUGUGAUUCAAACUAUUAUGCAAUGAUGAAUGUUAACUUAUAUCAAUGUUCUAAAAAUCGUUAGGCGGUUUACAGAGAUUUAUUGUUUAGACGGACAGCUAGGACCAGUUUUAUUAUUUGAAAAACUCUUUUCGUCUACACCCGAUUUUCCAACUAGGUGGGUGACUAAGGCCGUCUAUACUGAUUUUUAGAACACUGCCUUAUAUGAUUGUGAAAAUGAAUUAUGCACAAAACAUUCCUCAGCAAAUGGUAAAAGUUACUGUGCAACCAAGUAUUGCUAAAAGUUUCCAAUGAUGAAUGUUUUUACCUUAUAUGACUGUGAAAAUGACAUAUAAUCUGGUUCUAUGCACAAAACAUUACUCAGUAUUGGUAUCAUUGUGUUGCUCUUGAGCAUUCUUAUUGUUGUCAUUCCCACUAUUACCAGUUUCACAUCUUCUUGAGACAUGACUUAGUGUUUGUUUUGUGGCUAAAAAGGAUGUCUUAAUCCUUGCUUUGUGUAUCCAAACUAUUAUGCAAUGAUGAAUGUUUUUUACUUUAUAUGAUUGUGAAAAUGAAUUAUAAUCUGGUUCUAUGCACAAAACAUUAGUAAAUUGGUAAAAGUUAUUGUGAAACCAAGUAUUGCUGCAAGUGGUUGUUUCUCUUCUUGUUCUUGAGUUUCCUGAAGGCAGAGGACUCGAUCUGCCUCACUCUCUCACGGCUCACACCCAUCGUUUCACCAAUCUCUUGCAACGUCUUCAUCCUCCCAUCUUCCAUCCCAAAUCUCCAACGUAUCACCUGCUUCUCCCUCGUGCUCAACGAGUCCAACACCUUGUCCAAGUCCUCCCUCAUGAACUGCUUUAUCAGAAUGUCCUCUGAUGUUUCUGCUUCAGGGUCUGAUAUCACUUCCUGCAUUCACAUUUACUGUCUUAAGCAAAACAAGAAGAAGACUAUAUAUACUAUGUAUGGUGUGUGUUAUGUUCAGGAGGGGGGACAAACCGAAGGUUUGAGGUUUAGAUUGAUUCCGAUCUUCUGGUCUAACGACCUUGGAGGCUUAGGGGCGAGUAGAACAGCCAUGAGGCGUUUCAUCGACAGUCCUGUGGCUUCUGCAACUUCUUCGUUCUUUGGUUGCUGACCUGUUUCACUGUACAGUUGCUUUCUUGCCUCUUUCACUCUGUAUGUUGCUUCCACCAUGUGAAACUGCCCAAAUCAUUGUAUGAUCAGGCAAGAACCAGACUUUUGUUUAAACAUUUGGGGGAUGAGACUACUUACAGGCAGUCUUAUCAUUCUGGACUGAUCAGAGAGAGACUUCCUCACUGCUUGCUUGAUCCACCAAUGCGCAUAAGUUGAAAAUUUAAAACCCUUUGUAGCAUCGAACUUCUCUGCUCCCCUCACAAGCCCUCUGCAUCCUUCCUGUGAUGCAUUUUCUAUAUUUAUCACUUCUCUCAAUACUGAUGUAGUUAACUACAAAAGAUAAGGAUCUAAGAACUCGAACCUGGACAAGAUCUUGGAGGUUCAUCCCAGCUCCUUGAUAGUUCUUGGCAAUCGAAAUGACUAGACGAAUGUUGCUUUUAAUCAUUCUGUCCUUGCACUGUGUGCCGUGAUUUAUACGUUUUCUUAAAGUCUUUUGAUCAACUCCAGCAGCAGAAGCCCAUUGUCCAAAGGUUGGCUGAUGGCCGCAACGCUCAGUCAGCUCUACUUGAAGCCUUUCCAGCUUCAGAAGGU